CACAUAGUUGGCCGCUCCUUCUUCUGCAGGUACCGUCAUUUUCGUUCCUACUGAAAGCGGUUUACAGCCCGAAAGCCUUCUUCCCGCACGCGGCGUUGCUGCGUCAGGCUUUCGCCCAUUGCGCAAGAUUCCCCA
rnacentral:rRNA from 1 species